rnacentral:rRNA from 1 species
AACGAACGCUGGCGGCAUGCCUAACACAUGCAAGUCGAACGAGACCUUCGGGUCUAGUGGCGCACGGGUGCGUAACGCGUGGGAACCUGCCUUUAGGUUCGGAAUAACUCAGAGAAAUUUGAGCUAAUACCGGAUGAUGUCUUCGGACCAAAGAUUUAUCGCCUUUAGAUGGGCCCGCGUUGGAUUAGCUAGUUGGUGGGGUAAAGGCCUACCAAGGCGACGAUCCAUAGCUGGUCUGAGAGGAUGAUCAGCCACACUGGGACUGAGACACGGCCCAGACUCCUACGGGAGGCAGCAGUGGGGAAUAUUGGACAAUGGGCGAAAGCCUGAUCCAGCAAUGCCGCGUGAGUGAUGAAGGCCUUAGGGUUGUAAAGCUCUUUUACCCGAGAUGGUAAUGACAGUAUCGGGAGAAUAAGCUCCGGCUAACUCCGUG